rnacentral:tRNA from 1 species
GUCUCUGUGGCGCAAUGGGUUAGCGCGUUCGGCUGUUUAAUCCAAAGGUUGGUGGUUAGAGCCCACUGAGGGACG